rnacentral:lncRNA from 1 species
CUGCCCUUCACUCCCAAAUGCUCUCUAGCCCCUCUCAACCCCUAAUGGUCUCCAGCUCUUCUCACCUGCAUCCAAAACCUGAAACCCCUGUGUCCGUUCACCGCUCACCUUCAUUUUUGCAAAGCGCGGUCUCUCUCCAAUCCUUCACCUCUGAGUUCUCAAUAGAACCAUCUGAUUCUCUCUAUAAUCUUCGAUGGCCUUCAUCGCUGUUCCGGCCACCUCUCGACCACCACUCACCAUGGCACCUCAUCUCCUUGUUUCUUUCUAAGACUCGAAGUCCAGAAGCUUCCGCCAUGGAAGACAGUCGAUUGAAGCUUGCCAGGGUUUGUGCCGGUUUUUCUCUGGUGGUUUUUAUACGAUAAUGCUUUACAUGGCCUAGAUGAUGAGUUUCACAGCCAGGUUCCUCCUUCCUCUAACUGGUGUGCAAACCCUAAUUUUUCAGUCAAAUCUCAUUAACUUUUGUGCUUUUAAAACGAUUUUUAGUUUAAUCUUUGUUUUAUACUCUAUUUCUCACUUAGUAUUUCUGAUUAUUCAAAGUUUUCCAACAAUUUUCCUUCUCUUUUCCAAAACUAGGGUUUCUGACCCUUUGUAAAGUCGUUGUAUCUCCUGCUUUUCUUAAGUAUUAUGUGGUUGUUUGUGUUUAUUUUUGUUACAAGCGUUUGGUUUCCUUGUUAAUUUUGAGUUCCAUGCUCAAACUUUCUGGCUAGGGUUUCGACCCUUUGUUUACCUGCUUAGGGUUCUCAGAAUUCCAAAUCUAGUACACUUUAUAGGCCCAAGUG